rnacentral:rRNA from 1 species
AUUGAACGCUGGCGGAAUGCUUUACACAUGCAAGUCGAACGGCAGCACGGGUGCUUGCACCUGGUGGCGAGUGGCGGAACGGGUGAGUAAUGCACCGGAACGUAUCCAAUAAUGGGGGAUAACGCACCGAAAGGUGUGCUAAUACCGCAUACGCCCUGAGGGGGAAAGCGGGGGAUCGUAAGACCUCGCGUUAAUGGAGCGGCCGAUGCCGGAUUAGCUAGUUGGUGAGGUAAAGGCUCACCAAGGCGACGAUCCGUAGCUGGUCUGAGAGGACGACCAGCCACACUGGAACUGAGACACGGUCCAGACUCCUACGGGAGGCAGCAGUGGGGAAUUUUUGGGACAAUGGGCGCAAGCCUGAUCCAGCCAUUCCGCGUGAGUGAAGAAGGCCUGGUUGUAAG